rnacentral:lncRNA from 13 species
AUUCUGCAGUUCUCAGAGAGUAAGUUAUUUGGGAUGGACAUGUUUUCCAUUCUGCUGAAGAGCAACAGAGUUUUUUUUUAAAGCAUAAUGGAAAAAUCGUCAGCAUGCAGGAUACAGGUCCCUUUUAGAUUGUGCAUCUCCCUGCCAAUUCUCUCUCUGAUGUUUCUCACCUCCUCUGACUUCAUCUCUCUCUACUUCCUCCCAUGUGUCUUCCGGCACUUCUUUGCACACCACCUUCCAACAAGAUUAGACUCUUGUGCCAUCCCUUAAAACACUAGGUCCAAUGAGAGGAAGCCAGAAGAAGUCACCUGGAUACCUGGAUGCCUGGCACCUGGAUACGAGAAGCACCUUCUAAAGGCCGAGGAGUUCAACGCUAGGAAGGGUGACACCAGCUGAGAGCGAGCUCUCCACUGUGGAGGUGUGCAGAUGGAGGAUUCUGGUAGGGGAGUUCUUGAGAGGCCUGGACUUAAGGGAUCUGCUCAGCUUUGGGCUAGGUACUUGCCGUGUCUUUCAGCCCUGUGAUUUUGUGAUUGUGGGCAAAGAUUCCAUAAAGGGUUUUUUGUUUGUUUGUUUGUUUUGGUGUGUGUGUGUGUGUGUGUGUGUGUGUGUGUGAAACAGGGACUCUGGGGUAUCCUUUUGACAGCUGUGGGUGAGGGAGCAGAAAGCUGGGAAGCUGUAGGGCUGGCAACUGAGCAUGUCUGACUCUGUCUGUGGCUGAGCUGAGCGGCUUGAGAAGAGGGGAGGCAUAGUGUGGUGACAGGCAAGAAGAAAGAGGGUCUGGUGUAGUCUCCUAUGCCGAGGAACUUGCAGGUCAGGAGGAUUUUGAAGGCCCAUAGGUCAAUGUCCCCACCCCCCAACUCAGGGGCACAAGCCAGGUCUCUGAUUGGUCUAAGUGUGUGGACAGUUCUGAAAAGUGCAGGGUUGGAGCCUGUGACACUAUUUUAGAACGAUUUGCCAGAUUUCUGGACACCAGAGUGGCCACUGGUCUUAUAAAUGUGGGACGUCAGCGUUUUCAAAGACUCCUGGAGUCUCAGGUCUGGGAGGACCUCUAUAUCAUUCUAGUUCAGCCCCUCAGAAGCUGGCACGCCAUCACAAGCUGUCAUCCAGCCUCUUCUGGAACAUCUCAGCAUUUGCUUAAAAGAGAUAACGGAUGGAAAUUAUCUCCCACCGUGCGUCCUGAAACCAGAAGCCCCGUGACACUGGCUCCUUUUUCACUGCUCUGGGAUUUCGGCUCUGGCCAAGGCAGGACACCCAUGCUGCAGAGAAGCCUGAGAAGCCACUGGGACCAAGGUACAGGGAGUCGGGGUCAGCUGGGGAGAGCAUUGGGAUUCAUCCCAAAUCAGUGUCCCCAUUUCUGUACUGAGCUCAGCCCAGCAUUGCUAAAGCUCAGCACCCGAGCCUUCCCACUGGCUCUGUAAUUUCUUUUCAGCCCCUUGCUGAGGGACACAGGGCUAUUGUGCCUUUAUUUCAACCACUUACUUGCUGUGUGACCUUGUCCAUAUCACCUGGCCUUCCUGAGCUCUCUCUCAACAUCCACACUAAGGAUGAAAAACAUCAGCACUAGCAGCUAGCUGUCUUGUUGCGUUUGCCCACUCUCAAAGCAGCACGCUCACAUGCAUUCUCUCAUUACAACAUCUCUGCAAAUUGUGAAGUGGCUAAGUGGGCAAGGGGGCAUUAUGAUCUCUAUUUUAGGGAUGAAGACAUUGAAUUAAAUAUAAGCAACGUGACUUGCCUCUUGUUACAGCUGCUAGACUCCUGGGCUCAGGACCCCUCAUGUCUAGGACACCAAGAAGACAAUAAUCUUUUAUCAGAGUCUCCAGGAAACGUCUGAACCAGAAUCAGCAAUUUUAAAGGCUUGAAUAUGGGGGCUCAGGGAGCAUUCGGUUCUCACAUGUUUUAUGAGACUUUCAGAAGUUAGGCUACAGAGGGCAGGGCAUCCUAUGAUGGGCUCUGUAUUCUGUUUCUAGCACAGCCUGAUGUGGAUUCAAAUCUCAGCUCUCCUCUCUCAGAAAUGCAGUAAAAAUAUUUUACUCAGAAGCUACAAUCCAAAUUGACUGUUGGGAGGAAAAACAUAAGAUUCGGCAACAAGGGGUUUCUCUGGGACACUUCAGUGCCCACCAGGCCUUUUCUGGUGUCCUUUUUAGAUUCUGACAUGCCUGUAUUUGAGAGGACUCAUAAUCUGAAGAGUAGACCAAGGAAAUGCAGAUGGGGUUCUGAGGUGGGGAAGGUCUCUUCUCAUUGGGGUGGGGGCUGAGGAGAGGAGCAGAACUAGGGAAAGAAAAUAACAGAAACAGUGCUAAUGGAGACUAGCGUGUUUUAGGAGCUGAAAAGGGAACAAUGGGGGAGGUGUGAGAUUUGGGGCCAGCACGCAGUCUGUAAAGAUUUAAGUUCCAGCACAGCCGCUUACCAGCUAAGUGAAUUCAGGCCUGACCUGGAUCUCCACGGGCUUCAAUCUCCUCACCUGAAACCUGGUGCAGGCAGGACCACCCCUUAUAGCUCUGCUGUCUGAGUCCAGAUCUCCCUGGUGCCCAAUAGGGCUUGACUACAGCAAGCACUUGACAUGUGCUAACUCCAUGUAUCCCCCCUCUUUUUCAUAAGUGGAUUAUGCAUCUAGGAAAUAUGAAACCGCCUUCACCCAAACAAACAAAAACUGUGUCAUCUUAGACAAAUCUGAUAAAAUUAACUUUUAAGUUGAAAAAGUGUUCUGCACGAAUGAUGAACGCAUUGGCUUAUUUUCCUCUGACCCUGCUCACCACUUCUCCCCCAACACACACACACACACACACACACACACACACACACAGACGUGCACACCCGUCCCCCCUCCAAUAAAACUAGAUUGGCAUGAGGAGAAAAGGGCA